ACCUCAAAUGGGGCAGAACUACGGGGGACCACCACCACCGCAGAACAACAUGGGAGGACAGAGGCCUCCACCAAACUAUGGAGGAGCACCACCACAGAACAACAUGCGAGGACAGAGGCCACCUGCAAGCUAUGGAGGAGCACCACCGCCUAGCUACGGAGGAGGACCACCACCUAACUACGGAGGAGCACCACCGCCACCUAACUAUGGAGGAGCAGUACCACCGCAGAACAGCAUGGGAGGAGGUCCACCUAAUGCAGGAUGGUCAGGUAACAACAACUACCAGCAGCAGAGUGGUGGAAUGCAGCAGCCACAGUACCAGA
rnacentral:lncRNA from 1 species